rnacentral:rRNA from 1 species
GGAGUUAGCCGGUGCUUCUUCUGCGAGUAACGUCACAGAUGUAAGGUAUUAACUUACACCCUUUCCUCCUCGCUGAAAGUGCUUUACAACCCGAAGGCCUUCUUCACACACGCGGCAUGGCUGCAUCAGGGUUUCCCCCAUUGUGCAAUAUUCCCCACUGCUGCCUCCCGUAGGAGUCUGGGCCGUGUCUCAGUCCCAGUGUGGCUGAUCAUCCUCUCAGACCAGCUAGGGAUCGUCGCCUAGGUGAGCCUUUACCUCACCUACUAGCUAAUCCCACCUGGGCUUAUCCAUCAGCGCAAGGCCCGAAGGUCCCCUGCUUUCCCCCGUAGGGCGUAUGCGGUAUUAGAAGUCGUUUCCAACUGUUAUCCCCCACAAAUGGGCAAAUUCCCAGGCAUUACUCACCCGUCCGCCGCUCGUCAUCUUCAAAAGCAAGCUUUUGAAAUGUUACCGCUCGACUUGCAUGUGUUAGGCCUGCCGCCAGCGUUCAAUCUGAGCCAGGAUCAAACUCUGA